CCGAAGUCCAACUUCCUUGCAGUGGGUUUGUUGCGAGGUUCUGUACAGAAACAACCGGGUCACACUUCCCAGCGGGAUGAUGUCUGCGGUUUCACUCAGUCUGUUCCUGGCGUUAAUAGUCCGUGUCCAUUCCGAUGUCGUUCUCACUCAGCCCAAGACAGGGACCGCGGUUCCUGGAGGCUCCAUCACACUGACCUGUAAAACCAGCGGGUUCACUCUUAGCAGCUACUAUAUGUAUUUGAUCCGUCAGGUCCCCGGGCAGGGGCUGGAGUGGCUGCUUGCUUACCACGCGCCGACUACCACCGACUACUUCGCUCCAGGGAUCGAGAGCCGAUUUACUCCGUCCAAAGACAAUUCGAAUAAUAUGUUCACCGUGAUCGCCAGGAACCUGAAGAUCGAAGACACCGCUGUCUAUUACUGUGCGAGACAUGUGGGGUCACGGUGCUGCAAACAGCGACUUCCUCGUACAAAAACCUGGACACCAAGUUUAAUCCUGCUGCAACCUACAAGCACCGUAGGAGAGGCCGUGUGAAGCAAAUUCAAAUGAAUUUCACCGCUUAAAGUUACAUGGAUUGUUUUGAGAAAUGUCCAACUGUCUUCCGACCAAUUAACGUUAUUUUACAUGAGCUUUAGAAGAACAGCGUUUAGCUUUACAAGUGACAGCGAAGAGUCCCAUGGGACAUCCAUCCUCUGUUAGCUGUACAUGCAUCAGUUCUUGAAGAGCGAAGUAUUUGACAUGGCAUGUUUCACUGUGCUAUAGUACUAUCC